rnacentral:misc_RNA from 1 species
CUUUUCCGGCCAUCAAACAUGGCGAACCCAGUCAGCAAGAAAAAGAAGUUCGUUGCAGAUGGAGUGUUCAAGGCUGAGCUGAACAAUUUUCUGACGAGAGAGCUGGCAGAAGAUGGCUACAGUGGUGUAGAAGUCCGUGUCACACCAACACGUACUGAAAUCAUUAUCCUGGCCACCAGAACACAGAAUGUCCUCGGUGAAAAAGGCAGGAGAAUCAGAGAACUGACCUCAGUAGUGCAAAAAAGGUUCAACUUCCCAGAGGGAACUGUUGAGCUUUAUGCAGAAAAGGUUGCACAGCGAGGUUUAUGUGCUAUUGCACAGUGUGAGUCUCUCAGAUACAAGUUGAUCGGAGGUCUGGCAGUCAGGAGGUAAGGACAACUUAGUGAUGAAGAAAACGAUAAUCCCAAUUUGCGGACAGCUUGUUCUUACUUGAGCAUUACUGUGGGAAAAAAUUGGGGCCUGUUAUGGAGUGCUGCGAUUUAUCAUGGAGAGUGGUGCUAAGGGCUGUGAAGUCGUAGUAUCAGGAAAGCUGAGGGGACAGAGAGCCAAGUCCAUGAAGUUUGUGGAUGGUCUUAUGAUCCACAGCGGUGACCCCAUUAAUGAUUACGUAGACACAGCCGUCAGGCACGUCUUACUCAGACAAGGUGUGCUUGGAAUCAAGGUUAAGAUCAUGUUGCCCUGGGAUCCCAGUGGCAAGAUUGGUCCUAAGCGCCCCCUGCCUGACCAUGUCAGUGUGGUGGAGCCAAAGGAUGAGGCCGUCCCCGCCCACCCCUACAGUGAGCAGAAGGGAGCCAAGCCCACAGAGCCCCCAGCUGCACAGGCUUAAAAAGAUAUGUGAACAGAGACUGUAAAAAAAACUAAAAAAUAAAUAACCAAAAAAAUUC